GAUGAACGCUGGCGGCGUGCUUAAUACAUGCAAGUCGAGCGAACGGACGAGAAGCUUGCUUCUCUGAUGUUAGCGGCGGACGUGUGAGUAACACGUGGUUAACUUACCUAUAAGACUGGGAUAACUUCGGGAAACCGGAGCUAAUACCGGCUAAUAUUUUGAACCGCAUGGUUCAAAAGUGAAAGACGGUCUUGAUGUCCCUUAUAGAUAGAUCCGCGCUGCAUUAGCUAGUUGGUAAGGUAACGGCUUACCAAGGCAACGAUGCAUAGCCGACCUGAGAGGGUGAUCGGCCACACGGGAGCGAAGACACGCUCCAGACUCCGAAGGGAGGCAGCAGUAGGGAAUCUUCCGCAAGGGGCAGAGGCCUAACGGAGCAACGCGGCGGAAGUGUUGAAGGGCGUCGGAGCGUAAAACUUUGUUACUAGGGAGGAACAUAUGUGUAAGUAACUGUGCACAUCUGGACGGUACCGAAUCAGAAAGCCACGGCUAACUACGUG
rnacentral:rRNA from 1 species